rnacentral:rRNA from 1 species
GUGUCAGCCGCCGCGGUAAUACGUAGGUGACGAGCGUUAUCCGGAAUUAUUGGGCGUAAAGCGCCCGCAGGCGGCUGUUCAAGUCUGACGUGAAAUCGCUCGGCUUAACUGGGCGGGGUCGUUGGAAACUGAAUAGCUUGAGGCAAGGAGAGGGGCGUGGAAUUCCCGGUGUAGUGGUGGAAUGCGUAGAUAUCGGGAGGAACAUCAGUGGCGCAAGCGGCGCCCUGGCCUUAGCCUGACGCUCAGGGGCGAAAGCGUGGGGAGCGAACGGGAUUAGAAACCCCCGUAGUCC